GAUGAACGCUGGCGGCGUGCCUAAUACAUGCAAGUCGAGCGAACAGACGAGGAGCUUGCUCCUCUGACGUUAGCGGCGGACGGGUGAGUAACACGUGGAUAACCUACCUAUAAGACUGGGAUAACUUCGGGAAACCGGAGCUAAUACCGGAUAAUAUAUUGAACCGCAUGGUUCAAUAGUGAAAGACGGUUUUGCUGUCACUUAUAGAUGGAUCCGCGCCGCAUUAGCUAGUUGGUAAGGUAACGGCUUACCAAGGCGACGAUGCGUAGCCGACCUGAGAGGGUGAUCGGCCACACUGGAACUGAGACACGGUCCAGACUCCUACGGGAGGCAGCAGUAGGGAAUCUUCCGCAAUGCGCGAAAGCCUGACGGAGCAACGCCGCGUGAGUGAUGAAGGUCUUCGGGUCGUAAAACUCUGUUAUUAGGGAAGAACAAAUGUGUAAGUAACUAUGCACGUCUUGACGGUACCUAAUCAGAAAGCCACGGCUAACUACGUG
rnacentral:rRNA from 1 species